rnacentral:rRNA from 1 species
UACGUAGGGUGCGAGCGUUGUCCGGAAUUAUUGGGCGUAAAGAGCUUGUAGGCGGUUUGUCGCGUCUGCCGUGAAAAUUCGAGGCUCAACCUCGAACUUGCGGUGGGUACGGGCAGACUAGAGUGUGGUAGGGGAGACUGGAAUUCCUGGUGUAGCGGUGAAAUGCGUAGAUAUCGGGAGGAACACCUGUGGCGAAAGCGGCUCACUGGACCAUAACUGACGCUGAUGCACGAAAGCUGGGGGAGCAAACAGG